GCCCCAGUAAACGGCGGCCGUAACUAUAACGGUCCUAAGGUAGCGAAAUUCCUUGUCGGGUAAGUUCCGACCCGCACGAAAGGCGCAACGAUCUGGGCACUGUCUCAACGAGAGACUCGGUGAAAUUAUAGUACCUGUGAAGAUGCAGGUUACCCGCGACAGGACGGAAAGACCCCGUGGAGCUUUACUGCAACCUGAUAUGGAAUGUUUGUACCGCUUGUACAGGAUAGGUAGGAGCCGAAGAGACGUGUGCGCUAGCAUACGAGGAGGCAAUGGUGGGAUACUACCCUGGCUGUAUGACCAUUCUAACCCGCCACGCUUAGCGCGUGGGGAGACAGUGUCAGGUGGGCAGUUUGACUGGGGCGGUCGCCUCCUAAAGAGUAACGGAGGCGCCCAAAGGUUCCCUCAGAAUGGAUGGAAAUCAUUCGCAGAGUGUAAAGGCACAAGGGAGCUUGACUGCGAGACUGACAAGUCGAGCAGGGACGAAAGUCGGGCUUAGUGAUCCGGUGGUUCCGCAUGGAAGGGCCAUCGCUCAACGGAUAAAAGCUACCCCGGGGAUAACAGGCUUAUCUCCCCCAAGAGUCCACAUCGACGGGGAGGUUUGGCACCUCGAUGUCGGCUCGUCGCAUCCUGGGGCUGUAGUCGGUCCCAAGGGUUGGGCUGUUCGCCCAUUAAAGCGGCACGCGAGCUGGGUUCAGAACGUCGUGAGACAGUUCGGUCCCUAUCCGUCGCGGGCGCAGGAAAUUUGAGAGGAGCUGUCCUUAGUACGAGAGGACCGGGAUGGACACACCGCUGGUGUACCAGUUGUUCCGCCAGGAGCAUCGCUGGGUAGCUAUGUGUGGCAGGGAUAAACGCUGAAAGCAUCUAAGCGUGAAGCCCCCCUCAAGAUGAGAUUUCCCAUUUCUUCGGAAAGUAAGAUCCCUGAAAGAUGAUCAGGUAGAUAGGUUUGGAGUGGAAGUGUAGCGAUACAUGGAGCGGACAAAUACUAAUCGAUCGAGGACUUAACCAAAAA
rnacentral:rRNA from 1 species